UCAAGCGUGGGCAAAGAGAAGAUGGAUAAGCGGAACAGAGAGGUGAACAGAGCUGUGUCUCCAGCCUCCAGUGGCGUUUUUAAAAAUAGUGACCAUUCCAAACAUCCUCCUAAAGGCUUCAGUUAUGAUCCUGGACCAAAAGAUCGAAGAUCCAUCACAUUGCUGCUGAACUGCUGCGUAGUCUGGCUAAAAUAAAUCUGGGGUCUUCCUCAAUGCUAUGCAAGUCCCCGUGGA